AACGAACGUUAGCGGCGCGCUUAACACAUGCAAGUCGAACGAGAAAGCUUCUUCGGAAGUGAGUAGAGUGGCGCACGGGUGAGUAACACGUGGGUAAUUUACCCUCUGGUGGGGGACAACAUCUCGAAAGGGGUGCUAAUACCGCAUGAGUCCACUUCGGUGGGGAAAGGCGGCUUCGGCUGUCGCCAGAGGAUGAGCCCGCGGCCCAUCAGCUAGUUGGUAGGGUAAUGGCCUACCAAGGCUACGACGGGUAGCUGGUCUGAGAGGAUGAUCAGUCACACUGGAACUGAGACACGGUCCAGACUCCUACGGGUGGCAG
rnacentral:rRNA from 1 species